UCCCUUGACCCCUGCUGUCCACAGCCCUAACGGAGUGCAGGAUGCAACUUUGCUGAAACAGCAUGCUGUUGCCUCCUCUUCAGUUUUGCUGUUCACCAUGAACUCGUUUCCAUCACUAUUUCAAGUAUUGAAAGUAAAAUAGCAAAUGGGAAGUCAGAGCUAUAUGCAAAGACGAACAUCCAGCCACUGCACUGCAAAAAAGGUGUGAUAUUUCAGUACAACAGACCCAGUGGCAACAUGCCUCACCAAUUCAAUAUACCAGUACUGCAUUUCUGCCUACCUCACCCCCACAACUUGUGCCCUCCUCCCAAAGGUGAAGAACCCUAGUGCAGACACCACAUCCGAUGAUGAAGCCUCCUGCAGCCACUUGUUUCAGAUGCUUUGAGCACAUUUAGUGUUUUCAUUACUGACCCAUCUGCUUUCCUGAGUAUUCCCUUUCACUAUAUUUUUAUGAUUUUCAACAUGCAUCAAUGCAGACAGCUAAUCUUACAUUGCCUUCAGUACUUUCCCCAGCUACUCAGGUAGCAGUGUACCACUGUUCAUAAUGGUUUGAGGAACCCAUGUGGCCACCAAGCCCUUGUGGUGAAGGGCCUCUCUCUGUAAAUGUCACCAAAACUGAAAAGACCACAGAGGGGCACCCUCACACUUGUGAGGAAACACACCAGCGGCAGAUAGCCCAGAAGAAACACAGCAGGCAGUGUGACAGAAGCAGCUGCAAGGAAAAUUGCCGAAUCAAUGUAAAACAAACAGGUAUAGUCCUAGCAAAUAACAGCAAAAUGACUUGCUAAAGAGCUAAAAUUGCACUUGUUACACAGGUACUAUGAAUUAACUGACUGUAUACUUGAAC